rnacentral:rRNA from 1 species
AUUUAAGCACACACCAACCAAUUAUGUCUGAACUCAGAAGCUACGCAUGGUUGGACCUGGCUAGUAGUUGGAUGGGAGACCACCAAGAGAUCCCAGGCUUUUAGGCU